rnacentral:rRNA from 1 species
GACGAACGCUGGCGGCGUGCUUAACACAUGCAAGUCGAACGGAAAGGCCCUGCUUUUGUGGGGUGCUCGAGUGGCGAACGGGUGAGUAACACGUGAGUAACCUGCCCUUGACUUUGGGAUAACUUCAGGAAACUGGGGCUAAUAUCGGAUAGGAGCUCCUGCUGCAUGGUGGGGGUUGGAAAGUUUCGGCGGUUGGGGAUGGACUCGCGGCUUAUCAGCUUGUUGGUGGGGUAGUGGCUUACCAAGGCUUUGACGGGUAGCCGGCCUGAGAGGGUGACCGGCCACAUUGGGACUGAGAUACGGCCCAGACUCCUACGGGAGGCAGCAGUGGGGAAUAUUGCACAAUGGGCGGAAGCCUGAUGCAGCAACGCCGCGUGCGGGAUGACGGCCUUCGGGUUGUAAACCGCUUUCGCCUGUGACGAAGCGUGAGUGACGGUAAUGGGUAAAGAAGCACCGGCUAACUACGUG